GUCUCCGCGCUCUGCACGUGCCUGCGUGGGGGGCUUAGGCGGCCACAGAGAACCCUCAGGUGAGGGAAUGCAGUUCCAGGUGGAGUGGAAGUAAGACCUGGUAAAAGAUAAACUGACACAUGGUAGACAGUUUAAGACUGAGCAGAAAUCAGCAGGAAACCGGCAGUGCCGAAUGAAAAGUAGUCAGGGGCACUUUGCCACAGACAGAAGCUGGGGAGAGACUUUCAUAGAGAAAAGGCAGAAGCAAGAAAAUUACUCCUGAAUAUUUUUAUCUCCUGGCAUCCUGUUCCAAUGAGUUUGUGAAAGCUGGACAACAUGGUGUUCUAUCAAGAAAAUGUCUAUGAG